rnacentral:rRNA from 1 species
UACGGAGGGUGCUGGCGUUAUCCGGAUUUAUUGGGUUUAAAGGGUCCGUAGGCGGACCGAUAAGUCAGUGGUGAAAUCUCGCAGCUUAACUGUGAAACUGCCAUUGAUACUGUCGGUCCUGAGUGAACUUGAGGUAGCUGGAAUAAACAGUGUAGCGGUGAAAUGCAUAGAUAUUACUUAGAACACCAAUUGCGAAGGCAGGUUACUAAGAUUCAACUGACGGUGAGGGACGAAAGCGUGGGUAGCGAACAGG